UACGUAGGGUGCAAGCGUUAAUCGGAAUUACUGGGCGUAAAGCGCACGUAGGCGGAUUGUUAAGUCGGGGGUGAAAUCCUGGAGCUCAACUCCAGAACUGCCUUCGAAACUGGCGAUCUUGAGUUCGGGAGAGGUGAGUGGAACUGCGAGUGUAGAGGUGAAAUUCGUAGAUAUUCGCAAGAACACCAGUGGCGAAGGCGGCUCACUGGCCCGAUACUGACGCUGAGGUGCGAAAGCGUGGGGAGCAAACAGG
rnacentral:rRNA from 1 species